GCGCUGAAUCGCGGCGUCUUUGGCGUCGUGAACUGUAGCGUAUAGAUUGUGCUCUCUGCGGCUCGUUUCGGUUUAAGUCUCCCUUGACUGGGGUCCCAUAGAAGGUGAAAGGCCUGUAAAACCGUUACGUUUCGUAGGCGUGCGCCGUCUUGGAGUCGGGUUGUUUGGGAACUCAGCCCAAAGUAGGUGGUAAACUUCAUCUAAGACUAAAUAUGACUACGAAACCGAUAGCAAACAAGUACCGUGAGGGAAAGUUGAAAAGCACUUUGAAGAGAGAGUUAAAGAGGACGCGAAACCGAUAAGAUGGAAACGGAUAGAGUUGACGUAUCUAGCUUGUAUUCAGCUGUUCGCCCGACCGGAGUUGGUUGUUUUGGUCCCGCUUUGGGCUGAAAUGAUUGGCUGCCGUUUCGCAACCGGUUGGUUACGAGCAGUGCAUUUGCAAGUGGAGUGCGCCGAGGCGUGCUGGCUAGCGGUUGGAAGCCGGUCUAGAGGAUAUUUGCUUUCGGGCAGGUAAACCCUGGGCCGGUGAAAGACUGUUUGGUUGGCAUUGCUGUUUUGCGGUUGCGGUUGGCACGGGUUGAGUUGGUCGGGUGUCUGGUGGCGGUCGCAUGCGACACGUGCCUGUUCUACUUGGCCAAUUUGAUUCGGGUUUCGUGGCCCAGACCUCGGUGUAAAAGUCGAUCAUCUAUCCGACCCGUCUUGAAACACGGACCAAGGAGUUUAGCGUGUGCGCGAGUCAUUGAGCGUUAAAAACUCAAAGGCGUAAUGAAAGUAAAGGCUUCUUUAAUGUUGCUUAUAUGCGAUCCGGUUGGCUUCGGCCCGCCGGCGCAGCAUAGCCCCGCUCCGAUUGCUUGCAAUGGGGCGGAGGUAGAGCGUAUGCGCUGAGACCCGAAAGAUGGUGAACUAUGCCUGAGCAGGAUGAAGCCAGAGGAAACUCUGGUGGAAGUCCGAAGCGGUUCUGACGUGCAAAUCGAUCGUCUGAC
rnacentral:rRNA from 1 species